GCCGGGGUGGCGAAAUUAGGCAGACGCGCGAGUCUUAGAAGCUCGUGCCGCAAGGCGUGCGGGUUCAAAUCCCGCCCCCGGCA
rnacentral:tRNA from 1 species